rnacentral:rRNA from 1 species
UACGGAGGGUGCAAGCGUUAUCCGGAUUCACUGGGCUUAAAGGGUGCGUAGGUGGGGUGGUAAGUCAGUGGUGAAAUCUCCGAGCUUAACUUGGAAACUGCCAUUGAUACUAUCAUUCUUGAAUAUUGUGGAGGUCAGCGGAAUAUGUCAUGUAGCGGUGAAAUGCUUAGAUAUGACAUAGAACACCAAUUGCGAAGGCAGCUGGCUACACAUAUAUUGACACUGAGGCACGAAAGCGUGGGGAUCAAACAGG